ACGCUGGCGGCGUGCCUAAUACAUGCAAGUCGUACGCUUCUUUUUCCACCGGAGCUUGCUCCACCGGAAAAAGAAGAGUGGCGAACGGGUGAGUAACACGUGGGUAACCUGCCCAUCAGAAGGGGAUAACACUUGGAAACAGGUGCUAAUACCGUAUAACAAUCGAAACCGCAUGGUUUUGAUUUGAAAGGCGCUUUCGGGUGUCGCUGAUGGAUGGACCCGCGGUGCAUUAGCUAGUUGGUGAGGUAACGGCUCACCAAGGCCACGAUGCAUAGCCGACCUGAGAGGGUGAUCGGCCACAUUGGGACUGAGACACGGCCCAAACUCCUACGGGAGGCAGCAGUAGGGAAUCUUCGGCAAUGGACGAAAGUCUGACCGAGCAACGCCGCGUGAGUGAAGAAGGUUUUCGGAUCGUAAAACUCUGUUGUUAGAGAAGAACAAGGAUGAGAGUAACUGUUCAUCCCUUGACGGUAUCUAACCAGAAAGCCACGGCUAACUACGUGCCAGCAGCCGCGGUAA
rnacentral:rRNA from 1 species